UACGAAGGGGGCUAGCGUUGCUCGGAAUCACUGGGCGUAAAGCGCACGUAGGCGGGUCUUUAAGUCAGGGGGGAAAUCCUGGAGCUCAACUCCAGAACUGCCUUUGAUACUGAGGAUCUCGAGUCCGGGAGAGGUGAGUGGAACUCCGAGUGUAGAGGUGAAAUUCGUAGAUAUUGGGAAGAACACCGGUGGCGAAGGCGGCUCACUGGCUCAUUACUGACGCUCAGGCGCGAUAGCGUGGGGAUCAAACAGG
rnacentral:rRNA from 1 species